rnacentral:rRNA from 1 species
GCUUCUAUCAAUCUUACUGGCGAACGGGUGAGUAACGCGUAAUCAACCUGCCCUUCAGAGGGGGACAACAGUUGGAAACGACUGCUAAUACCGCAUACGAUCUAACCUCGGCAUCGAGGAUGGAUGAAAGGUGGCCUCUAUUUAUAAGCUAUCACUGAAGGAGGGGAUUGCGUCUGAUUAGCUAGUUGGAGGGGUAACGGCCCACCAAGGCGAUGAUCAGUAGCCGGUCUGAGAGGAUGAACGGCCACAUUGGGAGUGAGACACGGCCCAGACUCCUACGGGAGGCAGCAGUGGGGAAUCUUCCGCAAUGGACGAAAGUCUGACGGAGCAACGCCGCGUGAGUGAUGACGGCCUUCGGGUUGUAAAGCUCUGUUAAUCGGGACGAAAGGCCUUCUUGCGAAUAGUAG